UAAAUAUAUAAUAUUAUAGGUUCUUCAAGCAAGAUUAAUAGGGAAAAAGGUUAAAUUCCUUUACAGCCCCCGCUACUGUGAUGCAGACGAAACUUUUGUUAGCCACUAUGAUGAUAUUUUUUAUAUCUCAUGGGAAGGAAGAGGAUUAGGAAGAAGCUAAGUCAGGAGACCUGCCUAAAAUAUUAAAGUAAUU
rnacentral:ncRNA from 4 species